rnacentral:lncRNA from 10 species
UGUUAAUGAACAGAUCAGACUGCUUCACAUUCUUGCCUGCAUUCAGAAAAUCAAAAGAAACCACUGGCAAGAACAUCCACUGAAUGCUAUUUGCAAGAAAUGCAUUAAAAGACAUUCAUCAGUGAAAAGAGAGACUCCAGCUGCCCAGAAAAGCCUGAUGAAGUUUGCAAAGGAGAUGGCAGUGAGGAAGAGUCCAUGUGAGCCUUCUCAUGACCAUAUCAC